rnacentral:rRNA from 1 species
GACGAACGCUGGCGGCGUGCUUAACACAUGCAAGUCGAACGAUGAUGCCAGCUUGCUGGUGGAUUAGUGGCGAACGGGUGAGUAACACGUGAGCAACCUGCCCCUGACUUCGGGAUAACCGCGGGAAACCGUGGCUAAUACCGGAUAUGACGCGCUAUCGCAUGGUGGUGUGUGGAAAGAUUUAUCGGUUGGGGAUGGGCUCGCGGCCUAUCAGCUUGUUGGUGGGGUGAUGGCCUACCAAGGCGACGACGGGUAGCCGGCCUGAGAGGGUGGCCGGCCACACUGGGACUGAGACACGGCCCAGACUCCUACGGGAGGCAGCAGUGGGGAAUAUUGCACAAUGGGCGCAAGCCUGAUGCAGCGACGCCGCGUGAGGGAUGACGGCCUUCGGGUUGUAAACCUCUUUCAGUAGGGAAGAAGGCCUUCGGGUUGACGGUACCUGCAGAAGAAGCGCCGGCUAACUACGUG